rnacentral:rRNA from 1 species
CAGGUCUUCGGAUGCUGACGAGUGGCGAACGGGUGAGUAAUACAUCGGAACGUGCCUAGUAGUGGGGGAUAACUACUCGAAAGAGUAGCUAAUACCGCAUGAGAUCUACGGAUGAAAGCAGGGGACCUUUGGGCCUUGUGCUACUAGAGCGGCUGAUGGCAGAUUAGGUAGUUGGUGGGGUAAAGGCUUACCAAGCCUGCGAUCUGUAGCUGGUCUGAGAGGACGACCAGCCACACUGGGACUGAGACACGGCCCAGACUCCUACGGGAGGCAGCAGUGGGGAAUUUUGGACAAUGGGCGAAAGCCUGAUCCAGCAAUGCCGCGUGCAGGAUGAAGGCCCUCGGGUUGUAAACUGCUUUUGUACGGAACGAAAAGCCUGGGGCUAAUAUCCCCGGGUCAUGACGGUACCGUAAGAAUAAGCACCGGCUAACUACGUGCCAGCAGCCGCGGUAAUACGUAGGGUGCAAGCGUUAAUCGGAAUUACUGGGCGUAAAGCGUGCGCAGGCGGUUUUGUAAGACAGUGGUGAAAUCCCCGGGCUCAACCUGGGAACUGCCAUUGUGACUGCAAGGCUAGAGUGCGGCAGAGGGGAUGGAAUUCCGC